rnacentral:lncRNA from 1 species
AUGCCUAAGUCUAAAGCUAAGACGAGACAUUUGAAGGGCGAAACCAAAUCGCGCUAUAAACUGUGUGUUCCUCCAUGCCAGCGCUACAUCACGGCUGGGGACACACAUGAUUUAUGCGUGGUUUGCCUGGGAUCGGAGCACGCUGAGUCGGCUCUCGAGGGAGCCGACUGCCCGCAUUGUGAACGAUUGCCAAUGCGGGCGCUUCGAUCCCGGAGGGCUCUCUUCGAGGAGGGAGCCUUCGCCAGCGUUCCCCGCGGCUCUGGCCCCGCUUCUGCUGAGGCAGAGCGGCUGCUGCACUCGUGGGGUUCGCAGGUGGAUCUGGCAGAGGGAAUGGAGACGGGCACGUCCUUAUCUCCUUCCUCAUCUGCUAGAUCUGGCGCCCAAACCCUGGGAUCGGAAGCACGCUCGUCGGUUUCUUCCGCCCAGGGCGAGGGGUCGACACUCCACCUCUCUUCGUCUGAUGAGGUGGAUGUGGAGACAGUUGGCAGGGAUUCGCCACCCCUUUCGCCCCAGUAUGAGGAGCUGCUGGAGGUGGUAACUCGCGCAGUCGAGAAGUUAAAAAUAGACUGGCCCCCACAAAAAUCACAUGAACCGCAGAGAAGUAAAUUAGAUGAGCGGUAUCUCAGGCCCAGACAACCACCUCCAGCCCGGAGCCUUCCCUUUUUUCCCGACCUCCAUGAUGAGAUAGCGAGGUCGUGGAAACAUCCAUAUUCCACCCGUCUUUUCGGCCCUGAUUCGCAGUAUUAUGGGAAUGUGACAGGGCUCGAUGAGCGUGGUUACAGAGCGAUGCCACGGGUUGAACAGACGCUUGCGGGCUAUCUGUCACCCGGUUCGGCGUCGUCUCUGAAGGCUCCGGCCUUGCCUACUAAAGCAUUAAGAACGACAUCAGGGUUAGUGGGCAAGGGCUAUGUGGCAGCAGGUCAGGCAGGGGCGUGCCUUCACACCAUGGCCGUCCUUCAAGCAUAUCAGGCCGACCUGUUGAGAGAUGUAGACGAGGGAGAGGGGAUCAAGUCCGACGAUAUUGCAGAACUUAGACGGACCGCUGAUCUCUCCCUCCGCGCCACCAAAGAGACCGCUCGCGCAAUUGGGCGGUCUAUGGCAGCCUUGGUGGCCGCGGAGAGGCAUUUAUGGCUGAACCUGUCCCAAAUUAAAGACCGUGACAGGUUCUGCCUCCUGGACGCCCCGCUCCAAGCCUCGGGCCUGUUCGGCGACACAGUCAAUACUGUCGUCGACAGGUUCCAGGAGGCCCGUAAACAGGCGGCGGCGUUCCAGAGUUUCCUCCCUCGUCGCUCUUGUGGGUUAUCUGGACGGGAGAUACCCACGCCACUAGCAGGCUCCUCAUACCGCGAGGCUCAAAAGCAGAGCGUCGCCACUCGUGCUCCCCCACGCCGGGACCGAGGGUCUAAGCGACGCUCUGAGUCGGGGGCUCCUAGAUUAAAAUCAGACCUUCGUACUAUUAUCGAAGCUAGGAAGUCCUCGACAAAGAGGUCCUGA